GAUGAACGCUGGCGGCGUGCUUAACACAUGCAAGUCACGGGGGCCCAGCAAUGGGCAACCGGCGAACGGGUGCGUAACACGUGAGCAACCUACCGAAAUGAGGGGGAUAGCCGGCCCAAC
rnacentral:rRNA from 1 species